GUCAUGGUUUCGACAGGGGUCUUGAAGGUGGAGAAGCUAUCCGACGCCGAUCGUCAAACGGCACAAUAAAAAAUAAACGCUAACGAUAAUUUAGCAUACGCGGCCUGAUGGCUGCCGUCGCCCGUCUGUCACCCACAGCAGGCGGAUACGGCGUGAUGAAUGUGGGAAACGACACGGAGGGCGCUUCGACUCCGCGGGCGUAUCAGGAGCUACCAACGUCUGAGGGCUGUCUGCCUCCCUCAGAUACGCGGGAACGGGCUAACGCCGCAUGACAGACUAUGAUAGUAGAAGUACACUGAAUGGGUCUUUGGACGCGGGUUCGACUCCCGCCUAUUC
rnacentral:tmRNA from 1 species